rnacentral:lncRNA from 1 species
AAAAAACCUUGUUCUGUGCCUGCUCUGGGUUGAGAAAAAGCUGUGCAAAUACCAUCCUUACUAGCAGACAAUUGCUAAAGAGCUACUAACCUCUUUGAAAUGACAAUUUGCUCUUUGUUUUGUAUGUUUUCCAGAUGUUACCUGCUGGCUGCAGGCAGAGGGGAAAAAAUAAUGUGAAGAAACUAUUUCAGUAAUUUGCCUGGAAAGCCAGGUGCCUCUCCAAGCAUCUUGAAUCACUUUUAAAAACUUGAGUAGAAAGGGAGCUGGGAUUUCACCAUGGGCAACUGUAAAACAGCAACCAGCUACCAGGCUGUUGUGGGAGGAGGGACUGUUUUGCCCUCAGGGAGAAGCCGAAGCAAGCUGCUCUCCUCUCUGCCCAUCAGCUGCCUGCAAGACCAAAGCACUCCAGCUCAGGUUUUUGGUCUGCUGAAUCUUCUCACAAUUUAUCUAUACAUCUUCAAGCUACAACCCGAGCUCAGACUAAAAAACAGAGAACUGAAAAGCAGGGAACAAGCCUCUGGCCUCCCUGCAUAUGACCUGGAAAGGCGCAAUGCCCCUGGGCAAGCCUGUUUGUUUGAGCAAUCUAAUGGUUUGUUAGGACACCUGGCUUCUCCCAGGGAAACUGGGAGGGUCCAGCAUGAAUAAACAAGCUGGAUCAUCUGCAGCUCUGUUGCUGUCUUGUUGCACUGGACAGAGAGGGCUGCUGCACAGAGCUCACGUUUAGCUGCUGCUCAUGGGCUGCUUGCCUGUACUGGUGCCUAAGAGGAGCUUGGUGCAGCAGUGCCUUCAUGGCUGCAUGUGCUGGGCUGGUGACUGGAGGUUACGCUCACGUGGGGGUAAUAGAAAAACCUUGAUUCAUCAGUCCCCACAGUUCCCACCAUAUCCCCUAGGCACAAAGCCUGCUGUCUCCACCCCUUUGACUCUAGAAAACUUGAUCACCAGAAGGAGGAUUUUCUAGGAAUGUCCCUGGGCACAGAAGGUGGAUGCAGGUCUCCAAGACCAGCUGCACCUGAUGUCAGAGGCAGGGAAAUGGACUUCCACAAGCGUAGGGCUACAGCCAUGGGUCCAGAACCCUGACAAGCAAGAAAACGAUGUUUGGAGACCUGUGGUUGCUGGAAGUAGAGCUUUGACAGGAAUCCCAGCUUGUAUUGCUGUUCAUGAAGGGCUGGCUGCAGGGAAGGAGAAAUGCAUGUGGAGGAGACAGUUUUUCUAGCAUGCCUGGUCAUCAGGAGUGGGCUGGGGUGGCUGAUUGCUCACCUGCUGGUCAUCAAGAACUCUCUGGGGUGGAAAGUGAUGCAGCUGGAGGUCAUGCAUCUGUGUAAAUUUUACAGAUUCAUCUCAUGACUCCUACAUGUUAUCCUUAUCCAGUGUGGGAAUGUGAGUUACAUUUUGAGUAAUCAUCCAGCGCCUGACACCGGUGUUGUUAUGAAAAAUCGACUUAUGGUUCAAAAGCUGACCUCUGUAAUAAAUGGUUUCCUACUUUUCA